UACGAAGGGGGCUAGCGUUGCUCGGAAUCACUGGGCGUAAAGGGUGCGUAGGCGGGUUCUUAAGUCGGAGGUGAAAUCCUGGAGCUCAACUCCAGAACUGCCUUUGAUACUGAGAGUCUUGAGUAUGACAGAGGUGAGUGGAACUGCGAGUGUAGAGGUGAAAUUCGUAGAUAUUCGCAAGAACACCAGUGGCGAAGGCGGCUCACUGGGUCAUUACUGACGCUGAGGCACGAAAGCGUGGGGAGCAAACAGG
rnacentral:rRNA from 1 species